CCCGUCCGGAUGCUGCAGUCAGGAGACUGGACAUAGACAACUACAUCCCCAAUCUACAAAAAAUACCCGACCGAUGACGUCACGAUGCACCCUACAACUGAGCGGCUCCUGGACCGGACGAGAGACUUUUUAACACUGUGCCCUGUCUCCGGUGAACUUCGCUUGCUGCAACUGCAGACAAUACGUCACAGCGAUCAACCAGAACCAGAAAGCAAAAUACUCUUGAGACAAGAUGCUGGGGUAACAUAGCUGCGAGGCAGCACACAAGACAACACAGGAUUGGCCUAGAGACAACUCUAUAUUCUUGAGUGGCCUAGCCAGUGCCCUGACUUGAACCCAUUCGAACAUCUCUGAAAAGACCUGAUAAUGGCUGUCCACUGAAGGUCCCCAUCUAACCUCAUGGAGAGGAUCUGCAGAGAAGAAUAACAGAAAAUCCCCAAAUCCAGAAGACUGGAGGCUGUAAUCGCUGCCACAUUUUCUUCAGCUAGGUACUAAGUAAAGAGUCUGAAUACUUAUGUCAGUUCAAUAUUUUAGUUUUUCCUUUUCAAUAAAUUU